rnacentral:rRNA from 1 species
AGCGAACGCUGGCGGCAGGCCUAACACAUGCAAGUCGAACGAACCUUUCGGGGUUAGUGGCGGACGGGUGAGUAACACGUGGGAACGUGCCUUUAGGUUCGGAAUAACUCAGGGAAACUUGUGCUAAUACCGAAUGUGCCCUUCGGGGGAAAGAUUAAUCGCCUUUAGAUCGGCCCGCGUCUGAUUAGCUAGUUGGUUGAGGUAAUGGCUCACCAAGGCGACGAUCAGUAGCUGGUCUGAGAGGAUGAUCAGCCACAUUGGGACUGAGACACGGCCCAAACUCCUACGGGAGGCAGCAGUGGGGAAUCUUGCGCAAUGGGCGAAAGCCUGACGCAGCAAUGCCGCGUGAAUGAUGAAGGUCUUAGGAUUGUAAAAUUCUUUCACCGGGGACGAUAAUGACGGUACCCGGAGAAGAAGCCCCGGCUAACUUCGUG